UUUGCAAUCAAUUUGCAAAUCAAUUGCGAAUAAAAAAAAAAUUAAGUGAGAAUUUUUGGGGAAAAAAUUUAGCAACCAAUUUAUAAUAGAUUGCUAUUAGCAACCAACAAGGAAUCAGUUGCAAAUAACAACCGAUUUUAGCAACCGAUUCCCUAUCCGUUGUAGUUAGCAUCAAGCCUUGAGAUCUCUAAGCAGCUUCAAUGGCCUCUCUUUG
rnacentral:misc_RNA from 1 species